rnacentral:rRNA from 1 species
GCUUCGGCCUUAGUGGCGCACGGGUGCGUAACGCGUGGGAAUCUGCCCUUGGGUUCGGAAUAACAGUGAGAAAUUACUGCUAAUACCGGAUGAUGACUUCGGUCCAAAGAUUUAUCGCCCAAGGAUGAGCCCGCGUAAGAUUAGCUAGUUGGUGAGGUAAAGGCUCACCAAGGCGACGAUCUUUAGCUGGUCUGAGAGGAUGAUCAGCCACACUGGGACUGAGACACGGCCCAGACUCCUACGGGAGGCAGCAGUGGGGAAUAUUGGACAAUGGGCGAAAGCCUGAUCCAGCAAUGCCGCGUGAGUGAUGAAGGCCUUAGGGUUGUAAAGCUCUUUUACCAGGGAUGAUAAUGACAGUACCUGGAGAAUAAGCUCCGGCUAACUCCGUGCCAGCAGCCGCGGUAAUACGGAGGGAGCUAGCGUUGUUCGGAAUUACUGGGCGUAAAGCGCACGUAGGCGGCCAUUCAAGUCAGAGGUGAAAGCCCGGGGCUCAACCCCGGAACUGCCUUUGAAACUAGAUGGCUUGAAUCUUGGAGAGGCGAGUGGAAUUCCGAGUGUAGAGGUGAAAUUCGUAGAUAUUCGGAAGAAC